rnacentral:lncRNA from 10 species
CAGCCCGCCUGCACCCAGGUGAAAUAGACAGCCAUGUUGCUCACACAAAGCCUGUUUGCUGGUCUCUUCACACUGACUCGAGUGAAAUUUGGUGCCGUGACUAGGAUCGGGGGACCUCCCUUGGGAGAUCAAUCCCCCGUCCUCCUACACUUUGCUCUGUGAGAAAGAUCCACCUACAACCUCAGGUCCUCAGACCAACCAGCCCAAGAAACAUCUCACCAAUUUCAAAUCCGUGAUAGAUCACAACAAGAGAUCAUGAAGAGGGCAUGGCCGCCAUGUCAUUCUGGAGAGAGACAGAGUAAAACAAAGAAGACAGAGUCUUGUUCUGCAACCCAGGCUGGAGUGGAGGGCAGUGGUGUGAUCUCGGCUCACUUCAACCUCCGCCUCUUAGGUUCAAGUGAUUCUCCUGCCUCAGCCUCCCGAGUAGCUGGGACUACAGCAGCCUCUCUACAAGUCUCCUAACUUAACCUGAUGGGAAAACACUUCCUACCACUAACAGCAUCUACUUGAUUACUGAUACUUUGAUCAUGGAGUUUGGGCAUGCCACUUGAUAGAAAUUUGAAGAGCAAUUAUAUUUUUCAAAAAGAGUUUUGAAUAAUGUUAAGAUAGAUUGCAACAUGACUAUCAAUUCUUCCCUUCCCAUCAAAGGAGAGAGUCCGUUUAUCCAGCCUUUGAAUCUUGAUUAUUCAUGUGACUUGCUUCACCCAAUGUAACAUUAAUAAGCACAAUACAAGCAGAGGCUUGCCAAGAACUUGGUUUGUUUCUAAUGCUUAGAAGAAGAAUGGUGUAUGCCAUAUUUCUGCAUUUAGAACUCACGUGGAGACAUGUGU